UGUUAACAGCUUGUGCAUUUUGUAAUGCCUUCUCUCAUUGCCAUGGUAACCAUUAAAACUUAAGGUAUAUUUGACUGGAGAGCUGGCCCAGGUAUUGGUUGCUGGCAUGUUGGAAGACAGUACAAAUGAAACGACACCAGGCAGCUGCUUGUUACAGUUCAAGGUAAGCCAAUCCAGUCGCAUAUAAUAAGCCCAAGGUUACACAAGCAGGCGAAGGAGGCCAACAGGAAGAGCAGAAGGGACGAGGAGCAAGAGGAUGGAAACCGCAGCUCUGCAAAGACAAAAGCAAAUGCCAUCCACUACCAUCUCUACCAAGAACCCAAGAAAACCUGCCAGCGCUUCUGUUCCUGCAUAAAGAAAAACACAUUACAAUCAGGAAAAGCACUGUUUGCCACCAGUGUCCAGAGUGAAAGCCUUCAACUGCAGACUGCUGCAAUUUCUACCCUAAUAGUCAACUAGCAAUUAGAACUGUUUGUUACAGUGACAGCCAGAGAAUCAUUUCAAGCAACAAGGCAGAAGCAGAGGAGCCAGAACAAGAGCCUGCUCAUUUGAAGGGGACGAUCGCCACACAGCAGCAAGUCCUGGGAUAGCAGGCAAUCUGGGGAGCAUGGCUCCAAGAGCUCAGCUUUCACACACAUGCUGCUGCAACUUUUGAGAAAGAGCUGAUCUUUGUUUUGCUGGAAGCAAAGAAAAUAGGAAUCCUUGUUUCGAUGUUUAGAAAGAGAUAUCCCACAUUCUAACUCAAUAUCCUAAUAGUCUAAUCUGAUAUAAGAUAUGAUGGAAUAAAUUGGGAACUUUAAUUGUCAAUUAUGGAUUUGAGACAGUGUUGCAGGGCUCCGGAAACAUCUCACAAUAAGAACCUUGCAAUGGAGUCCUGUUUACUUUACAAAAGGGGAGGGGAUAUUUGAAAUAGUAUCUCUAGUAUCUUCUUCUGUUAUGUGUUCUUCAAGUAUUCUGUAAAUUAUGUUUGAGUUUAAUUGAUAACUUGGGAGGAAAUGUUAUUUUUGGUGCCACAAUUUUCUCCCUGUUCUUCUUUCUUGUUUUUUUUCUUCCAAGUAUUCUAGUCUACACUUUUCAAAAUUAUAAUUGAAUUCUGUUCUUGAUUUCAGCAAUUAAAAGAGAAAAAAAGCUUCACCCCUGGACUUGUAAGUUGUCUUUGGAAGCUAUCACUUCCUCUCAAAUAAACCAAGAAUCCUACUUCUUUUCUUCAAAGAAACCAUCAGAGAAGCUUUGAAUAUUGCAGGGUAUUUGAUGUUCUCAAAGAGACGCAGUUUUCCUCCUUUGUUCAAGAGCUAUUAUUAAGUAGAGGUUCAAUAAAUAGCCAAAUGCAGGUAAUUCUUAGACAUUGAGUAAGCACCUUGCUAGAUGCUUUUGUGUGCACACAUUUGAAUGUAUUAUGCUUUCCGUCAGAUGACCAAGCAGAACUCUGGAUAGGCAUCUUUAGGCGGGAGCUGACACAGGCUGGGUGGGUUUGCACAGGUUGUUAGGUAUGUCUCGGUGCUGCUUCCAGUGCCUUCUCGGAAGCAAACACUCCAAAUACAUGGGGAAAAUGUUGCUGCUUUUUCUUCUUUGUUUUAGUAUGGAUGGGGACUCUCCCCCUUUUAUUUAUUUUGCAAGUGCGCAACCGCUCUGCAGCAGCUCUUUCCAGAGUCAGAGGUGAAGCCACGCUUGACUGGAGACAUCUAAGAUCAAUUUGUUGCCUCAUACUUCAACAUUAAAUGCAGCUUGAAAUAUAAUUGUUAGUCCAUGCACUCUCAGCUCUUAGGAAGUGUUCCAGCACCUCAGAACAGAGAGUGUGGAUAUUGAUGAUAAGCCAAGACGUGUACCCUAAACCACGGCUAACCAGAAUUUUCAGGUUCAGAGAUACAUAUAGCUCUAAGGAACAAGAUGGGGAGAAGGAAGAACAAAAGGCAGGGGGAAAACACAAAAAGACAGAGUUUUGGGACUCUCAACCCUGAUGAAUGGAAAGCACGCAGUCAAAUUUGGA